GGAGGGUGCAAGCGUUAUCCGGGAUUUAUUGGGGUUUAAAGGGUACGUAGGCGGCAGAGUAAGUCAGUGGUGAAAUCCAACAGCUUAACUGUUGAACUGCCAUUGAUACUGCUUUGCUUGAGUACAGUCGAGGUAGGUGGAAUUCCAUGUGUAGUGGUGAAAUGCUUAGAUAUAUGGAGGAACGCCGAUAACGAAGGUAGCUUACUAGGCUGUUACUGACGCUGAGGUACGAAAGCGUGGGGAGCGAACGGGAUUAGAGACCCCGGUAGUCCACGCCGUAAACGAUGGUCACUCGAUAUAUACUCUAUAUGGGUAUGUGUCCAAGCGAAAGCGUUAAGUGACCCACCUGGGGAGUACGCUCGCAAAGAGUGA
rnacentral:rRNA from 1 species